rnacentral:rRNA from 1 species
AUAUCAAUAAGCGGAGGAAAAGAAACCAACUGGGAUUGCCCUAGUAACGGCGAGUGAAGCGGCAACAGCUCAAAUUUGAAAUCUGGCUCUUUUAGAGUCCGAAUUGUAAUUUGUAGAGGGUGUUUCGGCGUAGACCAUGGUCUAAGUGCCUGGAAUGGCAUGUCAGAGAGGGUGAGAACCCCGUCUGGAUCAUGUGUCACUCGGAGCAGUAUAAUGGGGGCUCAAAGAGUCGGACUGUUUGGGAAUGCAGUCUAAAAUGGGUGGUACAUUUCACCUAAAGCUAAAUAUAGGCAAGAGACCGAUAGCGCACAAGUA